rnacentral:rRNA from 1 species
GGGUGAGUAAUACAUCGGAACGUGCCCUGAAGUGGGGGAUAACGUAGCGAAAGUUACGCUAAUACCGCAUAUUCUGUGAGCAGGAAGGCAGGGGAUCGCAAGACCUUGUGCUUUAGGAGCGGCCGAUGUCGGAUUAGCUAGUUGGUGAGGUAAAGGCUCACCAAGGCGACGAUCCGUAGCGGGUCUGAGGGGAUGAUCCGCCACACUGGGACUGGGACACGGCCCAGACUCCUACGGGAGGCAGCAGUGGGGAAUUUUGGACAAUGGGCGCAAGCCUGAUCCAGCCAUGCCGCGUGAGUGAAGAAGGCCUUCGGGUUGUAAAGCUCUUUCGGCGGGGAAGAAAUUGCUUCGGCUAAUAUCCGGAGUAGAUGACGGUACCCGCAUAAGAAGCACCGGCUAACUACGUGCCAGCAGCCGCGGUAAUACGUAGGGUGCGAGCGUUAAUCGGAAUUACUGGGCGUAAAGCGUGCGCAGGCGGUUGUAUAAGUCAGAUGUGAAAUCCCCGGGCUCAACCUGGGAACUGCAUUUGAGACUGUACGGCUAGAGUGUAGCAGAGGGGGGUAGAAUUCCACGUGUAGCAGUGAAAUGCGUAGAGAUGUGGAGGAAUACCGAUGGCGAAGGCAGCCCCCUGGGUUACUACUGACGCUCAUGCACGAAAGCGUGGGGAGCAAACAGGAUUAGAUACCCUGGUAGUCCACGCCCUAAACGAUGUCAACUAGGUGUUGGAAGGGUUAAACCUUUUAGUGCCGUAGCUAACGCGUGAAGUUGACCGCCUGGGGAGUACGGCCGCAAGGCUAAAACUCAAAGGAAUUGACGGGGACCCGCACAAGCGGUGGAUGAUGUGGAUUAAUUCGAUGCAACGCGAAAAACCUUACCUACCCUUGACAUGUCAGGAAUCCCGGAGAGAUUUGGGAGUGCUCGAAAGAGAACCUGAACACAGGUGCUGCAUGGCUGUCGUCAGCUCGUGUCGUGAGAUGUUGGGUUAAGUCCCGCAACGAGCGCAACCCUUGUCAUUAAUUGCCAUCAUUGAGUUGGGCACUUUAAUGAGACUGCCGGUGACAAACCGGAGGAAGGUGGGGAUGACGUCAAGUCCUCAUGGCCCUUAUGGGUAGGGCUUCACACGUCAUACAAUGGUCGGUUCAGAGGGUUGCCAACCCGCGAGGGGGAGCCAAUCUCAGAAAGCCGAUCGUAGUCCGGAUUGGAGUCUGCAACUCGACUCCAUGGAG